AGAGGGGGAUGCACACGGACACAGCCCAGCACAAAGGCAGCCCAUCCUCUAGGGUAUCCAACAGGCUGCCUCUGUCUGGGAAGAGGCAUGACAGGGAUUUUUCAUAUUUGAUGGGCUGAAUUGGUCCUACCCUUUGAUUCAUUAUGGGCAAAAAAUCUUAAAUUGAGAUGCUGUCAGGCAAGUGCCCUUGGUGUUCAUUAUCAUAAGCUGGCAGGAGGCAAGACUGUCCUGUGAUGGUAAAGAACAGGAACUUUCCUCUAUCAGCAUCUUUCCAUCCAAGCUGCUGGCAUCCAAAAGCAAGAUGGAUGCAUUUUCAUGCUAACUCAUAAUCACCAGUAUGCUUUCAAUUUGCUAUGGAUUAUAUACUGGGAAAGACUGGGAUUUUCUUCUGCCUUGGAUCAAGAGGCUGCCAGACAGAUCAAGGACUCAAAGGGCCUGCCAUUUGAAGUCUCUGCAGUUUGAAGAUGUGCUGUCAGGGAUCAGUGUGGAGAAGGCUUUUGUUCUGCUGCUGGAGAGAAAAAGGACUGACCCUGCCUGCAUUUUGAGUACCCUGUAAGAAGAACUUGUGCCCAUAGAAACAGACAUAAUGGAUGACUGUGCAGAUGUAAUCCCACCAGUUGGUGUCUACCACAAGGGCUCUGCUUUCUGCCAGAGGAUGAGUCAAUUAUGGAGCCCUGGCAAUCCAAGCAGGGCUGGGAUCAAGCACAGCACCUUUUCCUCCUCUCCUCUGUCUUGGCAGCCCCUGCUUGAUGCUCAGCUGGGAUGGACACACUCAGACACACCAAUGCUUUUAUUCAUGCACACACAGGAAAGGUUUGACCUUGCUCCCAUUGCUGGGUUUCAGUGUGAUUUAGCAGGUGCAGCAGAAGGAGAUUCACUGGAGGAGAUGCUGGCAUCUUUUGUACCAGCAUUAAUUUGAGGUGAAUUUCUGACUCCAAGUGCCCUGCUCCAAAUAUAUUGCAGUAUAACAGAGAACAAAACAUUACUCCAAAGUACAAAAUUUACUGUUGCGGCCUGCAUGAGAAAACAAUUCUCCGUAACUUCCAUAAUCAGACCUUGGAAGCAGAUGACUUUGUGAGUGGUUGGCUGCAGCAGCCAAACACUCAAGCACAGAAUAAUGCAGGUGAUCCCAGCUUUCCUGAGCUCCCAGGGCUUGGCUGCGCAGGCUGAGGAGCAGAUGGGUUCUUUGGUCACAUUACUCAUUCAGCUGAAGCUCAGCACUUUGUUUAAUGCUCUGCUGUCUGAGGCUGGAGUGGCCAGCAUGCCGCAGAUUUGAACCUGUUCUUCCGACCACAUCAAAGGAAUCUGGUCCUGGGCCAGAUUUGGAUCUCCCACCAGUUUUAACUGGUAUAAACUGUGUGAUAACUGGUAACUGAGCUGUGUGUAAUAACUAUAUUACUUAAGAUCUCCAAGCACCUAAUUUGAUUAGUGCAAGUAAUGAAAGAGCACCAAACCCCAUAAAGCUUUCAAACCAGUCAUUAAUAUGGUGAUUGAAAUAUUGUCAGAGUGAUCUGAAAUCCAGAAUUUUUACAAAAUAAUGCUAAGCAUCAGUCAUUGUACAAGCUA